UAGCAGUGGUCCCCAAGAAACAAGACAUCACUCUAUUCUCUUGUUUCCCAUCAAGUGAGAAAAUCAGACAAAAUACUUGUCUUGUAUUCUUGGAAGAUCAUUACCCCAAAGAUCAUCUCUAACAAUGGAUUAAGGGUUCUCUCUGCAAGGGUUUCAAAACUCUUCUUCGUUGCCUGUGAUUUUCUCUUUUCGGUUGGAGCGCCACUGGAGUCUCUCGCAGGCAGGUCGUGCUCUGGCAGAGUGGAGAUGUGUUAUUUGGGUUUUCAACAACAUUUGCUCUGUUUUGUUUUCCUCCAUUCUUCCUCUGUGAUCUUGCCUUAAAUCUAGCAAUGAGGGAUUUAUUCUUGCCGCUUGUGGAGGGUUUAGGGCUAGCGGGAGUUCGAAUCUAGUGGAAGGGUCUGAGUUUGGCUCAAAACUAGAGGAUUGGGGGUAUGUGAUGGUUUUGGGUUUGGUUUCGAGGAGGGUGGGAUUUCUUGUGGGGUUCUCGCCAUUUGUUAGGGAUAGUGGGUUUGGAUUCAUUGGUUCGUAAAGUUCAAAUAUGGUGUGUUCAGGUGAUGGGGUCAGAUCCGGUAGAGUGGAGGGCUGCUAUUUUAUUUUAAGUUUGCUUAUUUUUAUUGUGUUAUUUGGCUUUUUCAUUAUGUGUUUAUUUAUGAUUUCCUUUCUUUCAAGAACCUUAUUGAUGGGGUUCAUGGCUUCCGCCGCUGCGGUAUUCUUCUAUUUGGUCUCCCUUCAAAUUUGGAUCUGGACAAACAAGAUAUGGAUCCUUGGGUUCAUGUUCAAUUGUCGUGUUGCAGGAGCCUUCAUGAGUUUAGUGGAUCGUUGUUUAGUUUUCAAUAAUGGAGUCUUUCAUCUUUUGAAUGAUUUUAGGUGUUUAGUUUUUAUUAAAGUUGAUAUGUCAUUUUUCCAAUUGAAAAAGAAACUUGGUUUACUCCACACUCAUGAGAAGCUGAUUUGCUCAUGCCUUCUAGACUUAGUUAGAGUUUUCGUAUUGGCUUUCUUUAUAUUGAAAAUUGUAACAAUUAUUAUUGAGAGUUGCCUAAUCUUUAAAAAAAAACAUUAAAUAAAAUAAUUGCUACUUGAAAGAGAA